CACAGAUGGAUCGUGAGUGGUUGCUGGAUCUUUCCAGAUCACCUCACCACAUCACCCAGCCACUCUGCCCAAUGGGAGGGCAGACAGUGUUCCAGUGUGGGAGGAAGGGGUGUAAGGUGCAGGUAGUAUGUGAGGAGGGCACCAAAGAGAGUUACUGCGAGAAAGUCUGCAUGGUCAAAAGGUGGAUUACCAAGAACAAAGCAUCAUAAUGUUGUCCAGUUGAGCCCAGGGUCAUCUGGAUGAAAUGAAUACUUUUAGGGCAAAAUGGCUGAUACUGCUUCCUUGAUAACCACAUAUAGAAAACUGACAACUGUUUAGAACAAAGCCAAAGAUGAAACCAAAUAUAAAAUCACUGAUGAAAACUAAGUGAAAAAUAUAAGCAAA
rnacentral:antisense_RNA from 1 species